rnacentral:rRNA from 1 species
UACAGAGGGUGCAAGCGUUGUUCGGAAUUAUUGGGCGUAAAGGGCGCGUAGGCGGUGCGGUAAGUCUGCGGUGAAAUCUCCCGGCUCAACUGGGAGGCUGCCGUGGAAACUGCCGUGCUUGAGUGUGGGAGAGGUGAGUGGAAUUCCCGGUGUAGUGGUGAAAUGCGUAGAUAUCGGGAGGAACACCAGUGGCGAAGGCGACUUCCUGGCCUGUUCUUGACGCUGAGGCGCGAAAGCUAGGGUAGCAAACGGG